GCAGGGAGGGCAAUAUUUUGCCGCAUCACAACCCCCUUCGGUGUGCUAGGUGUCGACGGCGGUAAACUGACGUUUGCAAAAAAACAAGAUCGCAGCAACAGUGUAAUGAAGGGUUCAUUGCAGGAGAUGUUGCCCUGCGAGCUUGAUGCGAGUGUGACAAAUUUUGAAAGGCGCUGUCGGGACCGCAGCGGAACUACACAUUAAGCUGUGGUGUGUGCGGCAAGGCAUUUGCACGCAACAGUGACCGCAACCGGCAUGUCAAGAUCCACACGGGGGUCCGGCCCUUCCAGUGUGACGUGUGCUCACGCAAGUUCCGGCAGUCAUGGCACCUGCAGUAUCACCGCAGCACCCACACUGACUUCUGAUACCUGUAGCCACAGGGUGCUGACAUCCCCGUCGCCUGAACCUGGGUGCUGCCAUUCGUUGUCGCCUAAACCUGGA